AUACUUACCUGGCCGGGGUCAAUGGGUGAUAAGAAGGCUCAUGGCCUAGGUUAGCAGCCUCCAUUACACUUAGGAGGAGCUCUAGCCUAUUAUGUUUCCAAGUGGGAGAGUGGAUGUCAUAAUUUGUAAAAGAGAGGUAGCGUUUGCGUGGCCUAUA